GAGUUUGAUCCUGGCUCAGGAUGAACGCUGGCGGCGUGCUUAACACAUGCAAGUCGAACGGAGUACCCUUGAAGGAGUUUUCGGACAACUGAAAGGACUACUUAGUGGCGGACGGGUGAGUAACGCGUGAGUAACCUGCCUUGGAGUGGGGAAUAACAGCUGGAAACAGCUGCUAAUACCGCAUGAUGCAGUUGGGUCGCAUGGCUCUGACUGCCAAAGAUUUAUCGCUCUGAGAUGGACUCGCGUCUGAUUAGCUGGUUGGCGGGGUAACGGCCCACCAAGGCGACGAUCAGUAGCCGGACUGAGAGGUUGGCCGGCCACAUUGGGACUGAGACACGGCCCAGACUCCUACGGGAGGCAGCAGUGGGGAAUAUUGGGCAAUGGGCGCAAGCCUGACCCAGCAACGCCGCGUGAAGGAAGAAGGCUUUCGGGUUGUAAACUUCUUUUCUCAGGGACGAAGCAAGUGACGGUACCUGAGGAAUAAGCCACGGCUAACUACGUGCCAGCAGCCGCGGUAAUACGUAGGUGGCAAGCGUUAUCCGGAUUUACUGGGUGUAAAGGGCGUGUAGGCGGG
rnacentral:rRNA from 1 species